GUUGAUUGUUCUGUAGACUUAUUCUUUUAGAAUAUAGUCUAUUUACUCAACUGCGUAAAGGAAGACCCUGAAGAUAUAGUGCACUUCUAGGUGAUAAUCUUCACAGAACCUCCUUGGUUCUAACCAAGGUAGUAGGAUCCACUAAACUCUUAGAGAAAUUAUAUUAAUAAACGAAGUGAAUUGAAAUAUCUUAGUAACUUCAGGAAAAGAAAUCAAACGAGAUUCUAUGAUUAGUGUGAACGAAAGUAGAAAAGCCUAAAUAUUAAGCAAGUAAAAUGGAUUAAUCUGUUUGAAUAUAGGGGAACCUUCCUCUAAGGCUAAAUAUGAUAUAUAAGCGAUAGUGAAUGAGUACCGUGAGGGAAAUAUCUUGAAAUAGUAGUUUUAUAAGCAGCUCAAGUUAAGUUUAAGUAAAAAACGAGAGCGUACCUUUUGUAUAAUGGGUCAGCAAGUUAAUAUUAGAUGCGAGCAUAGCACUAUGCCUAGAUAAACCGAUUAUGAAAUAAUGAAUAAGUAUCUAGUAUUAGACCCGAAGCCUAGUGAUCUUACCAUAAUCAGGAUUAUAAAAGUCCGAACGGGUUAUCGUUGUAAAGAUAUCCGAAGAAUUGUGGUAAGUUAGUGAAAGACAAAACUGACUAGGAUAGCUGGUUUUCCGCGAAACCUAUAUAAGUAGGUAAUUCAAGUAACAUCUUAGCAGGUACAGAACUGUGAUCUCAGGCAAAAUUUAUUAUCUUAGGUUAUUAAGAUAAUAGUUUUGCAUACAUCGGGGGAUCGUGAAGAUUUUAUCGGUGAGUAUUUGCUCUCGGAAGGGCAAAGAUGAAUAUUGAAUAAUCAGACAUAGUACGAUAAGGUUGUAUGUCUAAAGGGAAACAGCCCAGAACAAGUGUUUAAGGUUCCAAAAUUAUUGUUAAGUGAAAUUAAGGAAGUAUUUUUCAAAUACAACCAGGAAAUAGGCUUAGAAGCGGCCAUUUUUUGAAGACCUACCGGAUGAUGUGGGAUAUCAUCUAUGUGGGAGAAACUAUCAAACUCCGGGGAAUUCCUAAAGCUUCUGAUACCAAGCUAUAUUCGAAAGAAUAUAAGUGGCUGAACUAAUUACUCAGGUAUGGUAACAAGUCAGAAGAUAUCUGAAAAGAUUAUGGAAAAUCGCGGAUCUAAGUCAGAUUUUAAAUCCAAACCUUUGAUUAAUCGAAGUUUAAGAUCUGUAAAAGAGCAACGAGUAGACGGUAGUUGAUACAAGAUAAUGUUAAAUUAUUUUGUAUUUAAGGUGUACUCUAAUGAGUUUAGAAAUAAACUAUCGAGUCAGAAUCCCUUCUUAGCAAAUAAUAAACAUGUAGGAAACACCGGAUACAAAGGAGGUGCUCCUUUUUAUUUAACAAGAAAACUAAAAUUAGUUAAUAAAUUAUCUAAUAAAAGUUUAAACUUUACUAACGUUUUAAAUUUUAGUACUGCAUCACAGAUAACAAAAUUACCUGGUUGAUGAGUAACUGGGUUUGUGGAUGCUGAAGGUUGUUUCCGUAUUUCUAUUAUUAAAAAUAAGAAUUACAAGGGCAAUCCUUGAUCUCCAUCUCUUUAUAGUGAAAAUAAUGGGUUAGGUAAUUCUAUGCCUUUAUCUGUUAGACUUUAUUUCCAAAUAGGGUUGCACUUAAAAGAUGAAAAGAUUCUAAAAUUAAUUCAAUCCACAUUAGGGGUUGGAAAAAUUUAUAGAUCUAAGACUCGGUUAGAUUAUGUUGAAUUACAGGUAUCCUCUUUUAAGGAUAUGUCUGCUAUUAUAAAAUUUUUUGGUAAAUAUCCUCUAAUUACUCAAAAAUGGGCUGAUUAUUUACUUUUCAAAAAAGCCUAUGAAUUGAUUCUGAAUAAACAGCAUCUUACUAUUGAAGGUUUAAAUAAAUUAGUGGAAAUUAAAGCUUUAAUUAAUAAAGGUCUUCCUGAUCAAUUAAAAGAAGCAUUCCCUAAAUUUGAACUUGUUAAUAUACAGAGAUGUAAAGUUAAUAAAGAAAUACCUGAUCCUAACUGAAUUGCAGGAUUUGUAAGUGGUGAGGGUAGUUUCAUGGUUAGAAUGUUUAAAUCAGCUAGCCAUGCAAUAGGUUAUCAGGUACAAUUAAGAUUUCAAAUAACUCAACAAUCUCGAGAUAAAUUUUUAAUGGAGAGAUUUGUUAGUUAUUUAGGUUGCGGAUAUAUCUCUGAACGUGGAGAUAUUGUAGAUUUUCAAGUAACAAAUCUUAUGGAUAUAGUUGAUAAAAUAAUACCGUUUUUUGAAAAGUACCCUAUAAUUGGAGUUAAAUUGGAUAAUUACAAUGAUUUUUGUAAAGCAGCUCAACUUGUUAAGGAUAAAGAGCACUUAACUGUCGAAGGCUUAGAAAAAAUUAGACUAUUAAAAUCUAAUAUGAACACACUUAGAGAUAUUAACUAAUGUUAAUAUUCUUUUGCAUAGCCUUGUAGACAUUUAAAGGUCAUACCUCUCCUCGAAAUAAAGUGUGCAAAUUAUUAGAUAUUAGUAGAUCAUUAUCUAAUUAUUUGUAAGAACUAUUUGUUUAUUGUUUGUAUGAUGAAUCUGAUGGUUAUGCGUAACAGAGCACUGGUUCAAUUAUAAAUUAAUGUAUAUUAAUUUAUAUAAGUUAAAAGCACCGAAAAUAUAACGGAUCUAAAACAAUAUACCGACACCUUGUCCAUAUUUAUUAGUAUUUGAUAAUAAAAACCGGAUAAAUACUUAAAAUUUUUAGUAGAUUCCUCUGGUUUUAAAAAUAUUGUAUUUACGGGGUAGCGGAACGUUGGGGAAAUUUUGGAUUUUUACUUUUUAAGUAAAAAAAUUAGAUAACCCAAGUGAGAAUGCUGACAUGAGUAACGAAAAAGGGGAAUACCCUCGCCUUAAGCUUAUGGGAUUUCUUUAAAGUAACGGCCUCUAAGUUUACAGACCUGCCCUAAAGGAUUAAACGAUGAGAAAAUCUUCCUUAUGUAUGACAACCUUAGAAAAAAGUUAAUCUGUUUAAUAGAUAAGAAGAUUUUGUAUUAACACUGUUAAUGCAUUUGAUAGCCAUGUUAAAUGUGCUGUGGUAUAUCGAGUCUAUAUACUAAACCAGUAAAGCUGGAUACUCUGUCACUGCUUGUCACAGGUCCUAUGAUCGUUGCAGGCCUACUGGUUCUUAUUUUUUUGUAUUGAAUUAUAUGGCAAGUAUUUUCAGUACAUCCUUAAGGAAAUAAACUGUAUAGUAACAAAGGAUGCUAGACAGAUAUUAAAUAGAUUAAUCAAUCUUUGAGAGUACUAAGCGUUCUGGAAAAAGACAUAAGGUGUCAAAUACAAUGUUUACAUUAUAUUAUGACCAAACCGUACCUAGAAACUACCACCAGUAAGCAAGUAGAGAAUACGAAGGCGUUUGAGCUAACAAUCAUUAAGGAACUCGGCAAAUUGACUCCGUAACUGCGGGAUAAGGAGUGCCAUUCUAACUGAUUAAUAUCAGGUUUAGAAGAGGAGGCACAGAAUGGUGUUGUACGACUGUUUAAUUAAAACACAGCACUUUGCGUAAGAUGGCAAAUCGAAGUAUAAAGUGUGCCGUCUGCCCGAUGAUGGAUGGUUAACGAAUUUAUUUAGCUGACUAAAAUAGGCUAGGUUUUGAAGGAACCCCCAUUCAAUGGCGGCCUUAUCUAUAAGGGUCCUAAGGUAGCGGAAUACCUUGGCCGUUAAAUGCGGUCUUUGCAUGAAUGAUAAAACGAUACAACAGCUGUCUCAAUGAUUGGCUCAGUGAAAUUGAAAUAGCAGUGAAGAUGCUGCUUACCUCUAGUUAGACGAGAAGACCCUAUGCAGCUUUACUGUUGCUAGUUACUGGAUAUGAUUUAACAAGUUGUAGUGUAUAAGGUAAUUGUUGAAAUAAAAUUGAAACACCUUUACUUUGUUUGUCAUAUCAGUAGAAUACGCCUAUCUAAUAGUGACUCAUUAAUAGGCUAAGUUUACAAAGCUUAUCCACAAAGGAAAAGGGGAUAUUUAAUAUAAUAGCCCGGGAAACAGUUGCUAGUGGACGGUUUAUGCGGGGCACAGAUCCCAUAAAAAGUACCUGGGUAUAUCCAAAGUUAAUUUUGUAAAAUUGCAAAUUGCAAUUGAAUGUAUAUUGUCUUGUUUUCUUUGAAAACAAGAUAUAUAUAUUCUAUAUUUAUUUUGUUAUUAGUUAUAUAUAUAACUAAUUCAGUUAUUUUUCUAUUGAGUUAGAGCUAUAUUUUUUAAUCUAAGUAAGAUUUUAACUAUAUGGGAAAUAGAUGUAAAAAAAACAUUAAUUAAAAUUAUUAGUAAUGUUUUUAGUUGUUAUAUUUGUAUGCUUUGGUUUAUUGCCAAAGAUAUUCUUAUAAUGAUUUUGAUAUUUACUUCAAAAGUUUAAUGGCUUAAUCUUGCUUUACUGUUUGACCUACACGUCUUUCAGUCGCAUAAGCGGGGCAUAAGAUCGCAAGACGCAGAAAGGAAAGGUCUUGUAUUAUUGAAAAAGCUACGCUAGGGAUAACAGGCUAAUUGCGCCAGAGAGUACAAAUUGAGUGCGCAGUUUGGCACCUUGAAAAAAAAAAUUAUUUUUUUUCACAAUAUAUAGUGUAUUUUAAAAAUUUCUUUAGUAGCUACUUACCUCCCCAGCACCGAGAGUGCGAGACCACACGAAGUGGGGGGGGGACUAGUAUGUUUUUAUCAAAAGGUAAUAAAAUAUUACCUUUAGGUUUACAAUAAUACUUAACUCCGGGAGCAUUAGCUUUCUGGAUUUGUGAUGGCGGUCAAUUAGUUAAAAGAGGAGGUAUUACUCUAUGUACUGAUAACUAUACUUUAGCUGAAGUUGAAUUAUUAAUUCAAAUAUUGGCUAAUAUUUAUAAUGCUAAAUGUUCUAUCCAUUAUAAAAAGGGUAGAGCUGAUAGAUUAUAUCAUAGAACCUAGCCCCCCCUUUUGGGGGGCGUUAAUUCCUCCUCCUCCUCCUCCUCCUGAAUAAUCUACACAGGUAAAAACUCUUUUGAUAACAUUAAGCCGUUAAUUACACAAUAUGUUCAUCCAUCUUUUCUUUAUAAAUUACACAAAAACAUGUAAAUUAACAGACAUCUUAUAUAUAUAACUAAAUAUUGUGACAUCGGGGAUUUCUUAUAGUAAUAUAAGAUUAGAAGUAGGCUAUAUGCUGGAACUUACCAUGACUAAGUCAUGGUGACAAUCAGCAGGGAAGUUUAAGUUUUAUAAACACCCUCAACGACUAAACGCCUACAUCCAGAAUAAUAUUCUUCUCUCGAAUACUGGAUGAAGAUAUAGUCUAAACCUUAGGGCUACUUAAGGAUUAAUAAAUUAGCGAUGUCGGCUUAGCUCAUCCACAUGAAUGCAGGAAUCAUGAAGGGUACGACUGUUCGUCGAUUAAAGAGCUACACGAGCUGGGUUAUUUUUAGCCCACAAUUUCUACUUUUUAUUAGUAGUCAUUUAAAUCGGGUGAAUUGCAAGGACAACGUAUAGUAUGUACGCCUACUUGCAGCGAAGAUUACUUAGGUAUUUAAGUAUAUAUCGUUCAACGACUAAAGGUUUAACCUUAUUUAGUGCCCGAUACAAUCAUUAAUAUAUUAUUUAGCUUAAAAUUUAAAUUUUUCGCGUUGCGUUAAUAUUUAACUCAGGUAUGUUUAUAUACUUGUUAGAGUGAUGGAGUGCUUUUAAAGAGCGAUAGUCACUACUUUACAAUAUAAUUAUUAAAUAGUAUUUAAUAUUAUAUAGACUAGAUUCACAAUAUAUGAAAAUAUAUUAUAGUCACUGAUGAUUAAAAUACAUGACAAGAACAACAAUUAUUAGAUUUUUAAAUUCACUUAACAAAUUAGCAGAUUAUGUUAGAAGUUAUCGUAGUAAAACUACAUUGCCUAAAUAUUUACAUGAGGUACUCAUUGGAUUACUUUUAAGUGAUGGUAGUCUGGAAAGAUCUAGUAUAACAAGUGCAGCACGUCUGUCUGUUAUAUUUGGACUUAAACAUGCAUCUUAUUUUUUCCACUUAUAUAAUCUAUUUGAGCCUUAUGUAGGUACUAGUCCUGAUGUGACUACGGUUUAUAAUAAAAAAACUAAAAGUGAUAAUAUGAUUAUUAAAUUUAAAACACAAAGUUUACCUUUAUUUGUGUAUUAUUAUAAUAUGUUUUAUAAAUUAAACUCCUCUACGGGAGGAUUUGUUAAAUGUAUACCUGCCAACAUAGAAGAGUUAAUGACUCCAGUAGUUUUAGCUCAUCUUAUUAUGGGGGAUGGUAAUAUUAAACUUCCAGACCAUAUUAUUAGAAUUUAUACUAAUAGUUUCACUAAAGAAGAGGUAGAAAGACUAGCCUCAGCUAUUAAUUCUAAAUUAAAUAUCUUGAUUCGUGCUGUACAUGACAGAAACGGGCAAUAUAUACUAGUAAUAAGUAAAGAUCAACUUACGAAAGUAAGAGAUCUUGUUUUACCUUAUAUGCACCCUUCUAUGUACUACAAAUUAGGUAUAGUGCAAUCUGAUAUAGAUUCUUUUUAUUAUUCUAAAAUAAAAGGUUUAGUUUAAUAUAUGCUUAUAGAAAAGUAUUUCGUUAACACACUGUUAUUCGUACACUAUUCUAUGGUAAUAUAUUAUCUUUUGUUUCUCUUUAUUAAAUUCUAAUAGCUAAAUAAUAAUAUAGAUUGUAAGACAUAGUCUGAACAACAGCGAAAUCUGUUGAAGAUUAGCCUAAAUCUAAUCAUAUAACAAGUUUGUAAAUACGUCGUGAGACAGUAUGGUUUCUAUCUUCUAGAGGAAAUUAGAGUAAAAUAAGGAUAGCCCCUUCGUACGAAAGGAGUUGGGUAUGUUAACCUCUGGUUUACCUGUUGUUUAUACGCUUAAUAUUAGCCAUUGGCUUUGCCUUUGAAACAAAAUAGUCUGAUUUAUCAGAUUAUGGGUAUUGCUUUUACUCAAGUAAAUAUAUAUAGUAUAGGCAUGGCAGGAAAGCUAAGUUAGUUAAAGAUAAGUGCUGAAUGCAUAUAGGCACGAAACUUAUCUUAGGAUACUCUUAAAUAUAUGUAGUAGAAUACUACGAAUAUUACUUUUUAAAGUAUUUAUAGGCUUUAGCUGAAAGAGUUUUAAUUCUUUUAGGUAUAAAGUACUAAUAUUAUUA
rnacentral:rRNA from 1 species